GAUAAUGCACGAGAAUAUUUUUCUACUCUUUUCUCAACUUUCAUGUCUUCUUCUUGUGCGCAUAUUUCUCAACAAAAUGGAGUAAUUGGGCAUCAAAAUGGGCAUCUUAUUGAAACAACCCAUGCAUUACUCAUUCAUAAUCAUGUUCCUCUUCGUUUUUGGAGAGAUGAUGUUCUUACUCCCAAAAUUACCUAGUUAGGUUAUAUGCUUUCUUCUCUUUUGUAGCCCAAGAGUUCUCACCCCAUUCCUUAUCCAUAUCAAAAUCCAUUCCAUUUUCUUCCACUUGCAUUUAGGUGUACUAGCUUUGAUCAUAAUCUUGCCCUUAGGAAGGACGAACUUCAGCCAAAAUCUAUCAAAUGCGUCUCCCUAAGAUUCUCCCGUCUUUAAAAAGGCUAAGUGUAAUGACCUAACUACAAACAAGAAUUUUAUCUUAGUAAAUGUGACCUUUUCGAAGCUUCACCAUACUUUUCAACAAAUACACUACACUAGCAUUCCAUCUUUGCAACUCUCCCAACUCCUAUCCUUCUCCAAGGACCAGUCCUCAUCUUCGGGUCUACUCAAGAUGACCUCACCCAAAUCAUCCUCCUACUAAUCCAAAUACUCUUUUUUUGAUACAGGUCCACAGACUGCUCUAGGUGACACAUCAUCACCUACACUAGUUGUGCCUCUAGCAAAAGAAGCUACUCCUCCUAUUGCUCUUUGUAAAGGUACACAAUCCUAGGGGUGUACAAACGAUCGGUUCAGUUUCGAACCGAACCGAACCAAUAAAACCGAAAAUCGAAAAUAAA
rnacentral:misc_RNA from 1 species